rnacentral:rRNA from 1 species
GCUUAACACAUGCAAGUCGAGGGGCAUCACGAGGUAGCAAUACUUUGGUGGCGACCGGCGCACGGGUGAGUAACGCGUAUGCAACCUGCCUAUUACAGGAGGAUAGCUUCCGGAAACGGAAAUUAAUACUCCAUAAAGUUUAAUAAGGCAUCUUAUAAAAAUUAAAGCUCCGGCGGUAAUAGAUGGGCAUGCGUAACAUUAGCUAGUUGGUAAGGUAACGGCUUACCAAGGCAACGAUGUUUAGGGGUCCUGAGAGGGUAACCCCCCACACUGGUACUGAGACACGGACCAGACUCCUACGGGAGGCAGCAGUGAGGAAUAUUGGUCAAUGGGCGCAAGCCUGAACCAGCCAUCCCGCGUGCAGGAAGACGGCCCUAUGGGUUGUAAACUGCUUUUCUGAGGGAAGAAUAGUUUUGAUUCGUUCAAGACAUGACGGUACCUCAGGAAUAAGCAUCGGCUAACUCCGUGCCAGCAGCCGCGGUAAUACGGAGGAUGCAAGCGUUAUCCGGAUUUAUUGGGUUUAAAGGGUGCGUAGGCGGACCUGUAAGUCAGUGGUGAAAUCCUGCAGCUUAACUGUAGCAUUGCCAUUGAAACUGUAGGUCUUGAGUUAGGUUGAGGUAGGCGGAAUGUGUAAUGUAGCGGUGAAAUGCUUAGAUAUUACACAGAACACCGAUUGCGUAGGCAGCUUACUGGACCUUAACUGACGCUGAGGCACGAAAGCGUGGGGAGCGAACAGGAUUAGAUACCCUGGUAGUCCACGCCGUAAACUAUGAUUACUCGUUGUUGGCAAUACACAGUCAGCGACCAAGCGAAAGCGAUAAGUAAUCCACCUGGGGAGUA